GCUGACGAGUGGCGGACGGGUGAGUAAUGUCUGGGAAACUGCCUGAUGGAGGGGGAUAACUACUGGAAACGGUAGCUAAUACCGCAUAACGUCGCAAGACCAAAGAGGGGGACCUUAGGGCCUCUUGCCAUCGGAUGUGCCCAGAUGGGAUUAGCUAGUAGGUGGGGUAACGGCUCACCUAGGCGACGAUCCCUAGCUGGUCUGAGAGGAUGACCAGCCACACUGGAACUGAGACACGGUCCAGACUCCUACGGGAGGCAGCAGUGGGGAAUAUUGCACAAUGGGCGCAAGCCUGAUGCAGCCAUGCCGCGUGUAUG
rnacentral:rRNA from 1 species